rnacentral:rRNA from 1 species
UAACGCGUGGAGAACCUGCCGUAUACUGGGGGAGUAACACUUAGAAAUAGGUGCUAAUACCGCAUAAGCGCACAGCUUCGCAUGAAGCAGUGUGGAAAACAAAAAGCUAAAGCUUUUGGUGGUAUACGAUGGAUCCGCGUCUGAUUAGCUUGUUGGCGGGGUAAAGGCCCACCAAGGCGACGAUCAGUAGCCGGCCUGAGAGGGUGAACGGCCACAUUGGGACUGAGACACGGCCCAAACUCCUACGGGAGGCAGCAG